rnacentral:rRNA from 2 species
ACAUACGACCAUAGGGUGUGGAAAACAGGGCUUCCCGUCCGCUCAGCCGUACUUAAACCACACGCCGGCCAGUUAGUAGUUGGGUGGGUGACCACCAGCGAAUCCCAGCUGUUGUAUGUU